AAAUUGAAGAGUUUGAUCAUGGCUCAGAUUGAACGCUGGCGGCAGGCCUAACACAUGCAAGUCGAACGGUAACAGGAAGCAGCUUGCUGUUUCGCUGACGAGUGGCGGACGGGUGAGUAAUGUCUGGGAAACUGCCUGAUGGAGGGGGAUAACUACUGGAAACGGUAGCUAAUACCGCAUAACGUCGCAAGACCAAAGAGGGGGACCUUCGGGCCUCUUGCCAUCGGAUGUGCCCAGAUGGGAUUAGCUAGUAGGUGGGGUAACGGCUCACCUAGGCGACGAUCCCUAGCUGGUCUGAGAGGAUGACCAGCCACACUGGAACUGAGACACGGUCCAGACUCCUACGGGAGGCAG
rnacentral:rRNA from 1 species